UGAGUUGUAGAUUAAUUGGCAAAUCACUUAAAUUUGAGUUAAGACUAUGAAAGUUCGAAUCUUUCCAAUUCAU
rfam:Yarrowia lipolytica complete mitochondrial genome, strain W29